rnacentral:rRNA from 1 species
AACUACGUGCCAGAAGUCUCGGUAAUACGUAGGAGGCAAGCGUUAUCCGGAUUCAUUGGGCGUAAAGUGUGCGUAGGCGCCCCGAUCAGUCAUGCUUUAAAUACUAAGGCUUAACCUUAGAAUCUGGCACGAUACUAUCGGGGUUGAGGAUUGUCAGGGAUGCUGGAACAGUUAGUGUAGCAGUGAAAUGCGUUGAUAUUAACUGGAACACCAAAGGCGAAGGCAGGCAUCUGGGAUCUUCCUGACGCUGAGGCACGAAAGCUAGGGUAGCGAAACAGAUUAGAGACCUGUGUAGUCCUAGCCGUAAACGAUGUCCGCUAGCUGUCACUCUCAAAGCAUAGAAUGCUUUGAGAAAUUCGAAGCAUGAAUAUCGAAAUUCGAAAUAAAAAUUUAAAUGUUCAAAAUUCAAAUGAAUAAACAUUUUUCGGAUUUCGAAUUUAGAAUUUCGGAUUUUCUCAAAAAAUAUUCUAUUUUUUGAGAGUGGCGGUGUAAGCUAACGCGUUAAGCGGACCGCCUGGGGAGUACGGCCGCAAGGCUAAAACUCAAAGGAAUUGACGGGGACCCGCACAACCAGUGGAGCGUGUGGUUUAAUUCGAGACAAAACGAAAAACCUCACCAGGACUUGACAUGAUACCGUUUACUCUCCUAGAAAUAGGAGAGGAUCCCCUCAAGAACAAAAGUAAACGGAAGUUAAAAAUUAAAAGUUUAAUUAGUUAGUUGGUUAGUUCGUUAUUAGUUCAUGGUAAAUUACUGUGAACUGAACUUUGAACUUUGAAUUACCCGAAAAAACUUCUGUUUUUGAGGGGGAUGGUAUCACAGGUGCUGCAUGGCUGUCGUCAGCUCGUGCCGUGAGGUGUUCCCUUAAGUGGGGAAACGAGCGCAACCCCUAUCUAAUGUUAAAUUAUUCAUUGGAGACUGCCCGAGCUUAGCUCGGGAGGAAGGAGGGGAAGACGUCAAGUCAGCACGGCCCUUAUGUCCUGGGCUACACACACACUACAAUGGCGAAAAACAAUGAGUCGCAAGCGCGCAAGUGCAAGCUAAUCUCUGAAAUUUCGCCUCAGUUCAGAUUGGGGUCUGAAACCCGACCUCAUGAAGUCGGAAUUGGUAGUAAUCGCGGAUCAGCAUGCCGCGGUGAAUACGUUCUCGGGUCUUGUACACA